rnacentral:rRNA from 1 species
UACGGAGGGUGCGAGCGUUGUCCGGAAUCACUGGGCGUAAAGGGCGCGUAGGUGGCGCGGGCAGUCAACGGUGAAAGUUCGGGGCUCAACCCUGAAUCGGCCGUCGAUACUCCCGAACUGGAGCACUGUAGAGGCUCAUGGAAUUCCGGGUGUAGCGGUGGAAUGCGUAGAGAUCCGGAAGAACACCGGUGGCGAAGGCGGUGAGCUGGGCAGUUGCUGACACUGAGGCGCGACAGCGUGGGGAGCAAACAGG